UAUUAAGUGAGUAAUUUUUUUUUAAUUUCUAAAAUUACACCAGCGAAUUUAAUAGAAAAAUUUAAUGGUGUUAGCAAUUAGAUCUGAAUUUUUUAAAUUCAAAAAAUAAAGAGACUAAAUUUCUAAAAUAAAAAUACAAAAACUAAAAUUUAAAUAUAGAAAAAGUACAAAAAAAAUUAAAAUAAAUUUUAAUAUUCAGAAAAUCAAAUGAAAUUUGUGCUAUAAUAUUAAAAUCUGAAAAAAA
rnacentral:lncRNA from 1 species